GACGUAGGUGGCGAGCGUUGUUCGGAAUCACUGGGCAUAAAGCGCACGUAGGCGGCCAAGUCAGUCAGGUGUGAAAUACCUCGGCUCAACCGAGGAACUGCGCCUGAUACUGCUUGGCUUGAGGUCCGGAGGGGAGAGUGGAAUUCCCGGUGGAGCGGUGAAAUGCGUAGAGAUCGGGAAGAACAUCAGUGGCGAAGGCGGCCAUCUGGGACAACACUGACGCUGAAGCACGAAAGCGUGGGGAGCAAACAGG
rnacentral:rRNA from 1 species